GAGCUCAGUUGACAGAGCAUGAGACUCAAUCUCAGGGCCGUGGGUUUGAGCCUCAUGUUGGGCA